UCUGCCGCACUCGAGUCUUGCAGUCACAAACGCAGUUCCCAGGUUAAGCCCGGGGAUUUCACAUCUGUCUUACGAAACCGCCUGCGCACGCUUUACGCCCAGUAAUUCCGAUUAACGCUCGCACCCUACGUAUUACCGCGGCUGCUGGCACGUAGUUAGCCGGUGCUUCUUCUUCAGGUACCGUCAUUAGCAGGCUAUGUUAGAGCCCGCCGUUUCGUUCCUGCCGAAAGAGCUUUACAACCCGAAGGCCUUCUUCACUCACGCGGAAUGGCUGGAUCAGGCUUGCGCCCAUUGUCCAAAAUUCCCCACUGCUGCCUCCCGUAGGAGUCUGGACCGUGUCUCAGUUCCAGUGUGGCUGGUCGUCCUCUCAGACCAGCUACGGAUCGUCGCCUUGGUGAGCCUUUACCUCACCAACUAGCUAAUCCGCCAUCGGCCGCUCCAAUCGCGCGAGGUCUUGCGAUCCCCCGCUUUCACCCUCAGGUCGUAUGCGGUAUUAAUCCGGCUUUCGCCGAGCUAUCCCCCACGAUAGGGUACGUUCCGAUGUGUUACUCACCCGUUCGCCGCUCGCGGACAGGGUUGCCCCCGCGCUGCCGCUC
rnacentral:rRNA from 1 species